rnacentral:rRNA from 1 species
AGAGUUUGAUCAUGGCUCAGAACUAACGCUAGCGGCGUGCCUAACACAUGCAAGUCUUACGAGAAAGCUCACUUCGGUGAAUGAGUAAAGUGGCGCACGGGUGAGUAACACGUGGAUAAUCUGCCCUUCAGUCGGGAAUAACUCAUCGAAAGAUGGGAUAAUACGCGAUAAUGCCUGUCCGUUCCGACGGAUUCGCCAAAGGUGGCCUCUCUAUAGAAGCUACCGCUGAGGGAUGAGUUCGCGCACCAUUAGCUUGUUGGUGGGGUAAUGGCCUACCAAGGCGACGAUGGUUAGCUGGUCUUAGAGGACGAUCAGCCACACUGGAACUGAGACACGGUCCAGACUCCUACGGGAGGCAGCAGUGAGGAAUUUUGCGCAAUGGGGGAAACCCUGACGCAGCAACGCCGCGUGAGUGAGGAAGGCCCUCGGGUCGUAAAGCUCUGUCAGGCGGGAAGAAAUGUUCGUAGGCUAAUAUCCUGCGUGCUUGACGGUACCGCCAGAGGAAGCACCGGCUAACU